UACGUAGGGGGCUAGCGUUGUCCGGAAUCAUUGGGCGUAAAGAGCGUGUAGGCGGCCCGGUAAGUCCGCUGUAAAAGUCAAAGGCUCAACCUUUGAAUGUCAGUGGAUACUGCCGGGCUAGAGUCCGGAAGAGGCGAGUGGAAUUCCUGGUGUAGCGGUGAAAUGCGCAGAUAUCAGGAGGAACACCAAUGGCGAAGGCAGCUCGCUGGGACGUGACUGACGCUGAGACGCGAAAGCGUGGGGAGCAAACAGG
rnacentral:rRNA from 1 species